AUUGAACGCUGGCGGCAUGCUUUACACAUGCAAGUCGAACGGCAGCGCGGGCUUCGGCCUGGCGGCGAGUGGCGAACGGGUGAGUAAUGCAUCGGAACGUGCCCAGUAGUUGGGGAUAGCCCGGCGAAAGCCGGAUUAAUACCGCAUACGACCUGAGGUUGAAAGCGGGGGACCGAAAGGCCUCGCGCUAUUUGAGCGGCCGAUGACGGAUUAGCUAGUUGGUGGGGUAAAGGCUUACCAAGGCGACGAUCCGUAGCUGGUCUGAGAGGACGACCAGCCACACUGGGACUGAGACACGGCCCAGACUCCUACGGGAGGCAGCAGUGGGGAAUUUUGGACAAUGGGGGCAACCCUGAUCCAGCCAUGCCGCGUGCGGGAAGAAGGCCUUCGGGUUGUAAACCGCUUUUGUUCGGGAAGAAAUCCUCUGGGCUAAUACCCCGGGGGGAUGACGGUACCGGAAGAAUAAGCACCGGCUAACUACGUG
rnacentral:rRNA from 1 species